GAUGAACGCUGGCGGCGUGCCUAACACAUGCAAGUCGAGCGGCAAGACGGUAAGCUCGUGCCCUUGAGGUUAGCGGCGGGCGGGCGAGUGACAAGUAGAUAACCUACUUCUUAGUCUGGGAUGACAACGGGAAACCACAGACACUAACAGCUCAUACAUUCAACCGGUGGGUUCAAUAGUUCAUCACGGCUUUGCUGUUUGAUAUAGACGGUUUCGCGUCGGAUUAGUUAGUUGGUAAGGUAACGGCUUACCAAGGCAACGAAGCGUAGCCGACCUGAGAGGGUGAUCGGCCACACUGGAACUGAGACACGGUCCAGACUCCUACGGGAGGCAGCAGUAGGGAAUAUUCCGCAAUGGGCGAAAGCUUGACGGAGCAACGCCGCGUGAGUGAUGAAGGUCUUCGGGUCGUAAAACUCUGUUAUUAGGGAAGAACAAAUGUGUAAGUAACUAUGCACGUCUUGACGGUACCUAAUCAGAAAGCCACGGCUAACUACGUG
rnacentral:rRNA from 1 species